rnacentral:lncRNA from 1 species
UCAUGCCACUGCACUCCAGCCUGGGCGACAGAGCGAGACUCCGUCUUAAAAAACAGAAACAAAAACAAAAACGAAUGAGGCAGUGUUGAUUAUUGCUGGAGAAACUCCCUUUAUAGGAGUUUUACAUGAUUAUUCAUAAGGAGGUGGGAAGAGCUGUUACUAGUAAGCAUGUUUUGGGUGGUCCUCUGGGUGCACAUGAGUAGUAGCUGUACAUUCUUGUUCAUUUGGCACAUGUCUUAUUAGCAUCUUAAAUCUCCACCCAGGAGUGUGUUUUUUACUAUUAUAAUGAGCCAGGGGGUCAGUUUGAGGACAGGAAAAAUCAAAGUGCACAGGCUGUCUAGAUGGGAAGUUCCCUACUGAAGAUAGCUUUGCUUGAAUGAGCUCAGUUAGAAUAUGAAUACCGAGGCUUAUUGUGUUGACUAUAGGAUCACCAAGGUUGCUGCACUUCCUUGAUUACCUAUCCUGCCUCACAGGGAGGGUGCUUGUGUCCUGCCCAUUCUUUCUUUCCUUCCUGCUUUUGUUUUGUCUGCUUUCCUGUGAUAAUUUAGAAAACAGGAACAAGUUUAUGGCCUCACAGUAGAGCCUUACAUCCAUUGUCCAUCUGUCCUUCCAGUUUCCCUCCAUAUUUCAGAAAAGAUUUAAAAGUGCUUGUAUGUACACUAUGAUAUGAUUGUAGAGCCUAUGGUGGCUGGAAGACCUCACACCGGUCUCAGAAAUCACACCUAACUCCUGUCUUCCCCCAGGUCUCUGCCUUUUCCUACUCUGGGAGCUCAGUAGGCUUCUGGCUACUCCCUUAGCCUGAUUGCAACCCUCUGGUUGCCAUCAGUAGCAGUGCCACCCACUUGGGCUAAUCCAGGAGACCUUGCAAAUGAGAGAGGCAAUUCAGCUAAGAGAGGGGAUCUGCAGGGCUUCCCAGAUAGGCCAAAGAGAUGAACCCACUAAGGCUACUAUGGGACAUCUCUCUGUUCACUUUCUGUUUUAGGGAAUUACAGGGAUUAUGGGGUCAAACUGCAGCCAGGAAGUCUUUAAACAUUAGGAGAUCAGUUUUGACAACCAGAUCAUGUCAAAUCUAGAAAAGUUUACAUAGAGCUGCUAUGGAACUCUCCCUUUUUCUACAUCCCUCCUACCUUCUUAGAGUUAGAAGGGAUCUUAAUAGAUUAACCCUUAAUUUUACAUUGACAUCUAGAAUUUGUAAGCUUAUGCCUAAGGACUCAUAGCAAAUGGACAGUAGCCUAGAGCCUGGUGAGCAUCCCAUUGUACACAUUGAAUAUUAUCCUCUCCCUCCUGCCUCCACUCCCCAUCUUAUUUAUUUAAGUCAGCCAGAUAUCUUUCCUAAGCCUCUGCACUGAGAAGGGCCAGGUGUAUUCUUGAUCCCUGGACUCCUGAGAGAGGCAGAUGUAGCCCAGCAGGAUCAUUGAUCAUGUAAACAAACCACAGCCUUGCCCUCUGUGCAGGGAUGGUGGGAUGCCAUAAGCCACAAAGAGCACUCCCUCCUCCAUCCUCUUUUGUAAGGGAUCAAGGGUCAAGGUUUAGUCCAUGGAGAAUUUUGAUAUAAAAGGCAGAGGUCAGGAGUUAAGUAAAACUAAGAGCACUCAUAGCCAAAUAGGUGAGCAUUUCAUUGAUGAAGCAGUAACUGGGAGACAGGCUCCAGACCAGUGGCCGUUCCAAGGCUCCUGCCCCCUUCCCCAGGGGGUCCUCUUCCCCAUGACUCCCCUUCCCCAGGCUUCCUUCUCCGUGGCACCACUACACAUCAAUAUUCCUGGCAAUAUUCUUCAUCAUGGAGACUUCGGCAGCGACUUCAACCAGAUGAAAAGCCCCACCUCAUUCCUGAAUGAUUGAGGUGCUAGAACAUGCUCUUUGUAAACCCCUGAAACAUGGCUUGGAUCAUUCCGUCUCCCACCUCAGCCCCUCCGGAGCUGCCUGGACCUCAUCAUUCCGGAGAGUCUAAGUGGCCUCUUCUCGUGCUCAGCUGCUUACCUCAACCACGUCAUUAUCAUACUUUUGAGUCUGGAUGAAUUUUGUCUUAGGGCGGAGAGCUCAUCAGUUCUACCGGUCUUGGAGAACAAGAUUUUCUAAAGGGAAAGGAAGAUUCUUGAACAUAUUGUGAAAGAGAUGUAUAAGCACCCAGACAGGAAAUGAGGAUAAGUGUUUAUUAAACACAAGUUAUUUCAUACUAGCCUCAUCCUCUUUUUGGAAACCAUUAUUAAACUGGUAGAGUAUGGAAAUCCCUAGAUGUCAGAUACCCGGACUAUUUAAAGUUAUGUUUUAAUCAUGUAAUAAAGGAAUGCAUUCUCAUAUAAAUUAAAACUUGGACAAGGCUAUACUUGAUUACCAUCUGAACCCUAGUCUCCUCACGGUAAACAUCAGUUUAGCAUGUCAUCCGAGACUUUUCUAUGCAUUUGCACAGAAUGCAUACAGUUCCAUGCCUGUGGAUGGAUUCUUUGGCUGCAAACAAUAGAAUAUUGUUUGUGAUGUUAAGAAAAAAACAUGUUUAUCUCAGAACAACUAAAUCUAGCAUAUUUUUAAACAGUUGUGUGGAAUUUUAUUGUGCAGAUAAAUUGCUUUUUAUUUGGCCAUUCUCUCAAUGAUGGGUAUUUAGAUUGUGUAUAGAUAUGGACUUUGGUAAGACAUCUUUCAUGAUUCCCUCGGGGUUCGGAUGGAGCCCCUUGAGCUUGGUGCUAUUGAAGGGAUUAGUGCUUGGUGCUGUUGUGGAAUGGGCCACCUCAGUUUGGAGGGAGAUAGUAUGCAAUAGUGCUCCACCUUGCCCACCAUUCUCAUCAACAGCCUGAACCAUGUGUCAUUUGUGGAUGGCAGGAAGCAAGGAGAGGUAGUUAAUACUUAAGGGUGCAGAAUCAGGUCCAAAAAGACAUAUGAAGGCUAGAAUGGUUGGGCACCCUCACAGGAAAUUUAGCUAGAAUACAUUUCUGCACCCUACUUGUGGGUCCAAAAAGCAGCUAGACAAGUUUUAGAUGUAGAAGCAUUUGUCAAAAGCUUUUCUGGGGGAGCAGGGCUUUGGUUUACAAAAGAGCAGUGUGGUUGUCAGUGGCAUAGCUGAUAGAAAAGGUAACCUGACAUUUGGCAGCAUUAAAAGAAGUAUGGCUUCCGGAGCAAGGGAGGUGACAUUCCUCACACUGUGGCCUGACCUGCAGCCUACCUGUGGUCUGAGUCAUACAGGUCUUAACGCUCUAUACUGUUGUGUCUGCGAGAGACUUUUUCUCAAUAGUGUUGCUGAAUGACAGGUCGUGACCUCAGAGACUCAGCUCAUUCAUGCUGGUGUGUUCCUUAGAAUGUGUUAAGAGGCACAAACCAAUCAAGAAGCGAGCCUUGUGCUUUAUGAUCAAGGUUUUCCUUGAGGGAACAGACAAGCAUCUCUUAACAGUUUCUUUGUAGCCAGCGUUGUGAUGAAUCCAACUUUAGCCCAGAGGGUUGGAUGUUGAACCUGAGGCACCAGUUAUCACCGAUUUUUUCAGGUCCAGCUAAUGUUUGCUGAGGUCUACUGUGUCGGUUCCUGUGCUUGAAAUGACUCUGCAGGGUCAGAAUUAUUAUCCCAGGUUUACAGAUAAGGAAACUGAGGCCCAGGAAGGUUCUAUGAUAUGCUGAAGAUAAUGCAACUAUGAACUGGUGAAUUUCGGCUCAGCCUUCCAGGCUGGCAUUCUUUGCCCAGUACCACUUAACUUUAUUCAUGAUCCAUUUUAGGUAAACAGUCCCUGUGCCAUGCCGGUAUGCUUAGCUAUUCCAAAGACAGAUACUCUCCAGGAUGGGCAGCUCCUAUCUCAGUGUGUUACCUGGAAUGCUUACUGCCCAGAGCAGUGAUUCUCAAACUCAAGAGCCUCGGGUUCUGGCAAGGUGCCUUAGGGACACAGGUGGGAGCAAGGAGGGGCCCAGGGAGACAGCAGGUGGUGGCACAUUGAGCCUUUACCUCUGCAGCUUUGAAUUGACCUAUUUUUAUAUUUGGGUCUCUGUUUAAGAUUUCAUUGCCGUGGUAGGGAGAGUUCCAA